GCCUUCGUGGUGUAGUGGUCAGUACGCAGAGCCCGUAUUCGAGAGGUCUGUGGUUCGAGUCCCGGCGAGGGCA
rnacentral:tRNA from 1 species